rnacentral:rRNA from 1 species
GACGAACGCUGGCGGCGUGCUUAACACAUGCAAGUCGAACGGAAAGGCCCUGCUUUUGUGGGGUGCUCGAGUGGCGAACGGGUGAGUAACACGUGAGUAACCUGCCCUUGACUUUGGGAUAACUUCAGGAAACUGGGGCUAAUACCGGAUAGGAGCUCCUGCUGCAUGGUGGGGGUUGGAAAGUUUCGGCGGUUGGGGAUGGACUCGCGGCUUAUCAGCUUGUUGGUGGGGUAGUGGCUUACCAGGGCUUUGACGGGUAGCCGGCCUGAGAGGGUGACCGGCCACAUUGGGACUGAGAUACGGCCCAGACUCCUACGGGAGGCAGCAGUGGGGAAUAUUGCACAAUGGGCGGAAGCCUGAUGCAGCAACGCCGCGUGCGGGAUGACGGCCUUCGGGUUGUAAACCGCUUUCGCCUGUGACGAAGCGUGAGUGACGGUAAUGGGUAAAGAGGCACCGGCUAACUACGUG